GAAAACUGAAAGGGGUGCUGGAGAAAGUCCGGCUGAGAGUAAGCAGAAUUGCUUUAAACCCUCUAACCUGAUCUGGAUAAUGCCAGCGUAGGAAGCCUUCAGGCUAAGCCUGUU
rfam:Clostridium saccharolyticum WM1, complete genome.